GACGAACCGAGCAAACGUUAUUCGGAAUCACUGGGCUUAAAGGGCGCGUAGGCGGGCAUUCAAGUCCGUGGUGAAAUCCGGCAGCUCAACUGUCGAACUGCCGCGGAUACUGGGUGUCUCGAGGGAGGUAGGGGCGUGCGGAACUAUUGGUGGAGCGGUGAAAUGCGUUGAUAUCAAUAGGAACUCCGGUGGCGAAGGCGGCACGCUGGACCUCUUCUGACGCUGAGACGACGAACCAGGGGAGCAAACGGG
rnacentral:rRNA from 1 species